rnacentral:rRNA from 1 species
AUUAGAGUUUGAUCCUGGCUCAGGAUGAACGCUGGCGGCGUGCUUAACACAUGCAAGUCGAACGAAGCACAAGGAAGAGCUUGCUCUUCCUUGUGACUGAGUGGCGGACGGGUGAGUAACGCGUGGGUAACCUGCCAUACACAGGGGGAUAACAGCUGGAAACGGCUGCUAAUACCGCAUAACCCGAUAGUACCGCAUGGUACGGACGGAAAAGAUUUAUCGGUGUAUGAUGGACCCGCGUCUGAUUAGCUAGUUGGAGGGGUAACGGCCCACCAAGGCGACGAUCAGUAGCCGACUUGAGAGAGUGAUCGGCCACAUUGGGACUGAGACACGGCCCAAACUCCUACGGGAGGCAGCAGUGGGGAAUAUUGCACAAUGGGGGAAACCCUGAUGCAGCGACGCCGCGUGAGUGAAGAAGUAUUUCGGUAUGUAAAGCUCUAUCAGCAGGGAAGAUAAUGACGGUACCUGACUAAGAAGCCCCGGCUAACUACGUGCCAGCAGCCGCGGUAAUAAU